AGAGUUUGAUCCUGGCUCAGAUUGAACGCUGGCGGCGUGCCUAACACAUGCAAGUCGAGCGGUAACGCGGGAGCAAUCCUGGCGACGAGCGGCGAACGGGUGAGUAAUGCUUCGGAAUCUACCCAGUAGUGGGGAAUAACCAGCCGAAAGGUUGGCUAAUACCGCAUACGUCCUACGGGGGAAAGCAGGGGAUCGUAAGACCUUGCGCUAUUGGAUGAGCCGAAGUCGGAUUAGCUAGUUGGUAGGGUAACGGCCUACCAAGGCGACAAUCCGUAGCUGGUCUGAGAGGACGACCAGCCACACUGGGACUGAGACACGGCCCAGACUCCUACGGGAGGCAGCAGUGGGGAAUAUUGGACAAUGGGGGCAACCCUGAUCCAGCGACGCCGCGUGUGUGAAGAAGGCCUGCGGGUUGUAAAGCACUUUUAGUGGGGAUGAAAAGCCCAGGGAUAACACCUCUGGGUCUUGACCUAACCCACAGAAAAAGCACCGGCUAACUCUGUGCCAGCAGCCGCGGUAAUACAGAGGGUGCAAGCGUUAAUCGGAAUUACUGGGCGUAAAGCGUGCGUAGGCGGUUUCGUAAGUCGGGUGUGAAAGCCCCGGGCUCAACCUGGGAAUUGCAUUCGAGACUGCGAAGCUAGGGUGCGGAAGAGGGAAGCGGAAUUUCCGGUAGCGGUGAAAUGCGUAGAUAUCGGAAGGAACAUCAGUGGCGAAAGCGGCUUCCUGGUCCAGCGCCGACGCUCAGGCACGAAAGCGUGGGGAGCAAACAGGAUUAGAUACCCUAGUAGUCC
rnacentral:rRNA from 1 species